GGGGUAAGGUCAAGUUUUCCUUUAGUUUGAGGAACACUAGUUCGCACUUCCUCGUCCCACAAUAUCCAUAUGUUUUUUUAUUGGGCAAAAGACAGUUUACUACCCUCAUGUUUAGUGGUUUUCAACAUUUAGUACAUCAAUUUUUUUUCAUCCCAGAGUCAUACCUAAAGUGUAAAUUUUGGGACAGUCUCAUACAUCCGUUAGUUAAAUUGUUAGUUCUCCCGUUAAGUGAUGACGUGACACCCUGAUUGGGCGCCACGUGUCAUUAAAAAAUAUUAAAAUUUUAUUUAAAUAAAAAUAAUAUUAAAAAAUAUUAAAAUAAAUAUUAAAAAUAUGGGUAAAAGACUGUUUACUACCCUAAUGUUUCGUGGUUUUCAACAUUUAGUAUAUCAAGUUUUUUUCGUCUUAGAGUCAUACCUAAAGUGUAAAUUUUGGGACAGUCUCAUACAUCCCUUAGUCAAACUGUUAAGUUUUUCGUUAACUGUGACGUGGCGCACUGAUUGGGCACCACGUGUCAUCCACGUUUUUUUUUUUUUUUUUUUUUUUUUUUUUUUUGCUUCUUCCUUCCUUCCUCCUUC
rnacentral:lncRNA from 1 species